rnacentral:rRNA from 1 species
GAUGAACGCUGGCGGCGUGCCUAACACAUGCAAGUCGAACGGUCGAGCGACAAGCUUUUUGCUGUGAGUGUAUCGGCGGACAGCGGGUUAGUAACUCGAUAGCAACCUGCUCCCUCUUUGUGGAUAACCGCAUGAAAGUGUUGCUAAUACGGGAUAUUUUGGGUCUGUUGCUUCAAGGGUCUAGGAAAGUUUUUGUUUCGGUGGGAGAUGGGCCCGCGCUGCAUUAGCUAGUUGGUACGGUGAAGGCCUACCAAGGCAGCGAUGCAUAGCCGCCCUGAGAGGGUGAUCGGCCACACUGGAACUGAGACACGGUCCAGACUCCUACGGGAGGCAGCAGUAGGGAAUCUUCGGCAAUGGGCGAAAGCCUGACGGAGCCACGCCGCGUGAGUGAUGAAGGUCUUCGGAUCGUAAAACUCUGUUAUUAGGGAAGAAAAUAUGUGUAAGUAACUGUGCACAUCUUGACGGUACCUAAACAGAAAGCCACGGCUAACUACGUG